GUUAGGAAUAUUGGACAAUGGGCGCAAGCCUGAUCCAGCCAUGCCGCGUGAGUGAUGAAGGCCUUCGGGUUGUAAAGUUCUUUAGCCGAUGAUUAUAAUGACUGUAGUCGGAAAAUAAGCCCCGGCUAACUUCGUGCCAGCAGCCGCGGUAAUACGAAGGGGGCGAGCGUUAUUCGGAAUCACUGGGCGUAAAGCGUGCGUAGGCGGGCUCGUAAGUUAGGAGUGAAAGCCCAGGGCUCAACCUUGGAAUUGCUCUUAAAACUGCAAGGCUAGAAUCUCGGAGAGGAUAGCGGAAUUUCCAGUGUAGCAGUGAAAUGCGUAGAUAUUGGAAGGAACACCAGUGGCGUAAGCGGCUAUCUGGACGAGUAUUGACGCUGAGGCACGAAAGCGUGGGGAUCAAACAGGAUUAGAAACCCCUGUAGUCC
rnacentral:rRNA from 1 species